AGAGUUUGAUCCUGGCUCAGGGUGAACGCUGGCGGCGUGGAUGAGGCAUGCAAGUCGAAUGGGUUUAGACCCAUGGCAGACGAGGUAGUAACACGUAGGUACAUACCCCAAAGUCAGGGAUAACCUGGAGAAAUCCAGAAUAAUACUUGAUAGUAUCGCGAGAUUAAAGAUUUAUCGCUUUGGGAAUGGCCUGCGUUCUAUCAGCUUGUUGGUAAGGUAACGGCUUACCAAGGCUAUGACGGAUAGGGGAGGUGAGAGCCUGACCCCCACCGAUGGAACUGCGACACGGUCCUUACUUCUACGGAAGGCUGCAGUCGAGAAUCUUCCGCAAUGGACGAAAGUCUGACGGAGCGACGCCGCGUGGUAGAUGAAGUCCUUAGGGACGUAAAUACCUUUUAUGAGGGAAGAAGUUUAUUGACAUUACCUCAUGAAUAAGGGGCUCCCAAUUCUGUGCCAGCAGGAGCGGUAAUACAGAAGCCUCGAGCGUUACCCGGAUUUACUGGGCGUAAAGGGUGUGUAGGUGGUGUGAUUAGUCUUGCGUUAAAUCUUCGGGCUCAACCCGGAACUCGCGUGAGAAACGGUCAUACUAGAGGAAGUGAGAGGUGUGUGGAACUCAUGGUGUAGGGGUGAAAUCCGUUGAUAUCAUGGGGAACACCAAAAGCGAAGGCAACACACUGGCACUCUCCUGACACUGAAACACGAAAGCGUGGGUAGCGAAUCGGAUUAGAUACCCUGGUAGUCC
rnacentral:rRNA from 1 species